rnacentral:lncRNA from 1 species
CUGAGAGGUCUGCUGUUAGUCUGAUGGGUUUCCAUUUGUAAGUGACCUGGCCUUUCUUUCUAGCUGCCUUUAACAUUUUUUCUUUCAUUUCAACCUUGGAGAAUCUGGUGAUUAUGUGUCUUGGUGAUGGUCUUCUCCUGGAGUGUCUUACUAGGGUCUCUGCAUUUCCUGAAUUUGAAUGUUCGCCUCUCUAGCUAUGUUGGGGAAGGUUUUAUGAAUGAUAUUCUAAAAUAUGUUUUCUAAGUUGGUUCCAUUUUCCCCAUCUCUUUCAGGCACAACAGUCAGUCACAGAUUCAGUCUCAUUACAUAAUCACACAUUUCUCAGUGGCUUUGUUAUUUCCUUUUUAUUCUUUUUUCUCUAUUCUUGUCUGCCUGUCUCAUUUCAGAAAGGAAGUCUUCAAGCUCUAAGACUCAUUCUUCUGCUUGGUCUCUUCUGCUAUUCCUACUUGUGAUUGCAUUGUGAAAUUCUUGUAGUGUGUUUUUCAGCUCUAUCAUGUCAUUUGCAUUCCUCUCUAUACUGGCUAUUUUGUCUGAUAGAUUCUGCAAUUUUUUUCAUUAUUUUAACCAAUAUUUAUUUAAAGUUUCCAAAGCAAUACCAUGACACUCUGCUAAACUGCAGGUGAAAGAUGCAGCCAGAAAGCAGACACCUGUCCUCAUGGAGCUUACCAUCUCAUUGGGGAAACAAUUAUUUUAUCUCCAUUUCUCCUACUAUUGACAUAGGUUUACUGACGGUAAUCAUAUUUCACAUAUUAGUCCAUGAGUUGAAGAGCACUGUGAAUGGCCACAGGAGCAUUAGGAAUGGAAGGAAAAACACCAAGAGAUCCUGACUUGAAAAUGAAAGAAAUAAUUCAGGAGAAUUUGAGUCUUCAUUUAGAGAGGAGAUAAGUGUGUUUUGGGUUGUAUAAUGAAGAGUUGCAUCACGUUGAGAAGGACGUUGUUUUGGAAAGAUUAAGGAAAGGAGCGGUGCAGACUGUUGAUCAUGUUGGACACUAACAUCUAGUGAUUGUGUACAAAAAAGGGGAAAACAUUCCUUUUGGGGGACUUUCUCUUUGUGAGUAGAUUCAGUGGGAAGGAGUUUCCUCAUACCUGACUCCUAUUGUGUAGAAAAAACAGUAAAGUCCCUCUAACUACUUUAAAAUAAUUCUUGGCACUCUGAAACUUCAGUGAAUUUUAUAAUGAUGGAACAAACAUAUGGAAGUCAUUCAUUGAAAUAAAACAAGUU